GCAUAUCAGUGGCUUGUUUUGUUUUUAUUAAAUAUUAACACUGUUAUUAAAUGUUUCACACUAUUAUAGCAUUGACUGUUGAGUGUUCAACAGUGAGGUUUACAUCAGAUCCAGUGCAGGAGUGUCCAUGUUCAUAAGAAAUGGUUUAGUGUGGCAUUUCUGUGCCAGAUUAGCUCAAGUUUCUAUUUUGAGCUUAUAAAUUAAGAAGUUAGUAAAAUGUCUACCCUGUCAUUGUAAUGUGCAUAGAUCAGAAAAUACUUAUUUUAUUGUUUGUUUUUUUUUCUUUUCUUUAUUCUCUAAAUAUUAAAUUAACUACACUUAGCUAGUUUUAGGCAAGAGAUAAAGAAUGUAGUUUAAAAUCUGUACUUCAUUGCAAAAGUUAGAAACAAUGUUUGUUAAUAUUCUCGUUCUCAAUCCUACUUUCCAAUAAAUGGAAAAUGAAAAACCA